CAACAAGUGUUUUAUGGCACUUUUUCAAUCCAUAUCCACCUUGCGUGCAAUGUUGUCUUGUAACGCGAAUGCUUGCCAUUGCGCUACAGGAUGUAAACAUCAACUCUAAUUAUAAACAACUUUGUCUGAAAACCUGCAUGAAUACUUAAUUCAAAUA
rnacentral:misc_RNA from 1 species